UGCCAGCAGCCGCGGUAAUACUGAAGGUGCAAGCGUUAAUCGGAAUCACUGGGCGUAAAGCGUGCGUAGGCGGCGCAGCAAGUCAGACGUGAAAGCCCUCGGCUCAACCGUGGAAUUGCAUUUGAUACUGCAUCGCUAGAGUAUAGGAGAGGGAAGUGGAAUUUCUGGUGUAGGAGUGAAAUCCGUAGAGAUCAGAAGGAACACCGGUGGCGAAGGCGACUUCCUGGACUAUUACUGACACUGAGGAGCGAAAGCGUGGGGAGCAAACAGGAUUAGAUA
rnacentral:rRNA from 1 species